UGCAAGGAUUUAGACGUAAACCGCGUAAUUUCCUAUAAUUGCAGGUCUCUAAAAUUAAAACGGACCAAUCUCCUCGCAAAUCAAAGAUAAGUCGUGGGAAAAAAUCUAAACCGGAAGAACCCUGCACAGCCCCACGAGACUUCAUCAAUAAUCACGAAAAUGGAAUAGACCUUAACGCAGAUAUUCCUCCUCCAAAUUUUGUUACUUUUAAAUUCAAUGUAGAUGACAAAGAACCAUUCCCAUUUCCUCCAGUAGAAGAGGCAGGUUUGGACCCUCUUGCAUUUCACGAGGAUGAAACGUUCGACAAUAAUCCUAUCGCUGACAACAACCAGGAAAUUCAAGGGAAUGAACUACGCCGUAUGACAGUCAACAGUGGAUGAAUCCGAGGGAAACAGUUAACUCCUCAACCUUCAAUUUUGUGUAAUUUUAAGAAAUUUAAAUAUUUUAAGAAAUUUAAAUUCAAUCUGACACGGGUAAUUGUACAGUAAUUUGUGUUAUUAUUUUUGCACAAUCUUGUAUCGAUCUCUGCUUUCAUCCGUCUCAAAGCAAGUUUUUUUUCGUUUUUUAAUUGCUU